rnacentral:misc_RNA from 1 species
GAUGAAGAACGUAGCGAAAUGCGAUAAGUAAUGCGAAUUGCAGAAUUCAGUGAGUCAUUGAAUCUUUGAACGCACAUUGCGCCCUGUGGUAUUCCGCAGGGCAUGCCUGUUCGAGCGUCAUUUCAACCCUCAAGCCCCGCUUGGUGUUGGGCCCCGCCCGCUGUGGCCGGCCCUAAAGACAGUGGCGGCGCCGCCUGGCCCUCAGCGUAGUACAUCUCUCGCUCCAGGGUCCGGUGGCCGCCUGCCAGAACCCCCCAACUCUGUGGUUGACCUCGGAUCAGGUAGGGAUACCCGCUGAACUUAAGCAUAUCAAUAAGCGGAGGA